UACGUAGGGACCAAGCGUUGUUCGGAUUUACUGGGCGUAAAGGGCGCGUAGGCGGCGUGGUAAGUCACUUGUGAAAUCUCUGAGCUUAACUCAGAACGGUCAAGUGAUACUGCUGUGCUAGAGUGCGGUAGGGGCAAUCGGAAUUCUCGGUGUAGCGGUGAAAUGCGUAGAUAUCGAGAGGAACACCUGAGGUGAAGACGGGUUGCUGGGCCGACACUGACGCUGACAGCGCGAAAGCCAGGGGAGCAAACGGG
rnacentral:rRNA from 1 species